rnacentral:rRNA from 1 species
GAUGAACGCUGGCGGCGUGCCUAAUACAUGCAAGUCGAGCGAACGGACGAGAAGCUUGCUUCUCUGAUGUUAGCGGCGGACGGGUGAGUAACACGUGGAUAACCUACCUAUAAGACUGGGAUAACUUCGGGAAACCGUAGCUAAUACCGGAUAAUAUUUUGAACCGCAUGGUUCAAAAGUGAAAGACGGUCUUGAUGUCACUUAUAGAUGGAUCCGCGCUGCAUUAGCUAGUUGGUAAGGUAAAGGCUUACCAAGGCAACGAUGCAUAACCGACCUGAGAGGGUGAUCGGCCACACUGGAACUGAGACACGGUCCAGACUCCUACGGGAGGCAGCAGUAGGGAAUCUUCCGCAAUGGGCGAAAGCCUGACGGAGCAACGCCGCGUGAGUGAUGAAGGUCUUCGGAUCGUAAAACUCUGUUAUUAGGGAAGAACAUAUGUGUAAGUAACUGUGCACAUCUUGACGGUACCUAAUCAGAAAGCCACGGCUAACUACGUG